rnacentral:tRNA from 1 species
GGUGAGAUGGCUCAGUGGGUAAGAGCACCCGACUGCUCUUCUGAAGGUCCGGAGUUCAAAUCCCAGCACCC